rnacentral:lncRNA from 1 species
UGGCAACCGGGCAGGGACCCUCCGUGCUCGGCUUGGUUGUCAUUUGUUGUUAAUUAUCUGUUACCAUAAAUGCUGCCCUUUGAGAAAGAAAAGGGGGGAUGUUUUGAAAUAUUUCCUGCAGUGUGUGCCGGUGGCGCAGUGCAGAACUCGGUGUGUUCAGAAUCGCUGUCCUGGCGGCUUCCGCGUCCUUCACCCCAGGCCCACGCAGUUUCCCUGGCUGCGGAACCCACUUCCUGCCAGAACCCACUUUCUGCUCUCUGUCCAGAGAGCAGAGCACAUCUGUUUUUCUUGUUCCCCGAGGAGCUCCAUGCAGGGCCUGGGUGCCCAGUCCCUGCCAACCUGGGACAGCCGGGGUGCGGGCUCCCUGCAGGCCACGCCAAGCGUCUCUCGGGCUUUUCCUGGACGUGACGAAUGUGCCUGCGUCCUGAGGAAUCGAGGCAGCAGUGCUUGCCUGGAAUGAGCCCCGUUUCCAAAGUUCUGCUUUCACUGCUGUGCUCCUUCGCUCUCGGGUUUCCAGGCGGCUGCUGGGUGUGAGUGGCUUCUUUUAGAUCACAGGUGACAAUCAAAUUGUAGGACUGAAAGGGAGGGUUGGAUCAGUAAACGAGUGACUUGGUAACUAUUUGACAGGAGAGGAGGAGACUGGGCGGGAGACUGGGAACUGAGAGGAAGCAGCUCUCCAGGUGCUCCGGGGGAGGCCGGGGAAGGAUUUAGCACUUUGGAUUUGUUAGAAGCUGUGAGAAGUCCGGUGGGCCCGGGCUCCGUGACUUGGGUCUGAAACGUGAGGCCCUCGCCUGAGCCAUGGGACUGAGUUAGGCCCAGGGGGCCCUCCCCGCAAGCCUGGCCCUGGAACACGACAUUAUUUCCUUUAGAGGAACAAGCGACAGAGAGGUUUCCGGGGCCGGUGUAGACCGUGCAGGGCCGGCCAGCCUGCUGGUGCCAACUUCGGUGAUCGUCCACCCAUCCCAAGGUCUUCAUCGCAGCCUGGGUUCUGCGCUGAUGUUGAGGAGGAGAGGGGAGGAUGCAUGACGGGCC